rnacentral:rRNA from 1 species
CGCAAGCCUGACGGAGCAAGACCGCGUGGGGGAGGAAGGCUCUUGGGUUGUAAACCCCUUUUCUCAGGGAAGAACCAAAUGACGGUACCUGAGGAAUCAGCCUCGGCUAACUCCGUGCCAGCAGCCGCGGUAAUACGGAGGAGGCAAGCGUUAUCCGGAAUGAUUAGGCGUAAAGCGUUCGUAGGUGGCUAUUCAAGUCUGCUGUCAAAGACAGAAGCUCAACUUCUGAAAGGCAGUGGAAACUGAGUAGCUGGAGUGCGGUAGGGGCAGAGGGAAUUCCCGGUGUAGCGGUGAAAUGCGUAGAGAUCGGGAAGAACACCGGUGGCGAAAGCGCUCUGCUGGGCCGCAACUGACACUGAGGGACGAAAGCUAGGGGAGCG